AAAACAGAAGAGGGGCAUCUGGUGGAUCUGGCCAAGUUGGUCGAUCUGUUGAGACAAUUCAAACUGAGGUUGAAUUCAGAUAAGUGCACUAUCAGAGUGCAGUCCGGUAAGAUGUUGGGGUUCAUUGUAAGAGAGGAAUCGAGGUUGAUCCUACUAAAAAAAAAGAAAAAAAAAGAAAAACAAGAAAUGCCUGAACCGAGAAUGGAAAGAGAGGUUCGUG
rnacentral:lncRNA from 1 species